UGGAUCCAGACUUUGAUCCUGGCUCAGGACGAACGCUGGCGGCGUGCCUAAUACAUGCAAGUAGAACGCUGAAGAGAGGAGCUUGCUCUUCUUGGAUGAGUUGCGAACGGGUGAGUAACGCGUAGGUAACCUGCCUUGUAGCGGGGGAUAACUAUUGGAAACGAUAGCUAAUACCGCAUAACAAUGGAUGACUCAUGUCAUUUAUUUGAAAGGGGCAAAUGCUCCACUACAAGAUGGACCUGCGUUGUAUUAGCUAGUAGGUGAGGUAACGGCUCACCUAGGCGACGAUACAUAGCCGACCUGAGAGGGUGAUCGGCCACACUGGGACUGAGACACGGCCCAGACUCCUACGGGAGGCAGCAGUAGGGAAUCUUCGGCAAUGGGGGCAACCCUGACCGAGCAACGCCGCGUGAGUGAAGAAGGUUUUCGGAUCGUAAAGCCCUGUUGUAAGUCAAGAACGAGUGUGAGAGUGGAAAGUUCACACUGUGACGGUAGCUCACCAGAAAGGGACGGCUAACUACGUGCCAGCAGCCGCGGUAAUACGUAGGUCCCGAGCGUUGUCCGGAUUUAUUGGGCGUAAAGCGAGCGCAGGCGGUUUGAUAAGUCUGAAGUUAAAGGCUGUGGCUCAACCAUAGUUCGCUUUGGAAACUGUCAAACUUGAGUGCAGAAGGGGAGAGUGGAAUUCCAUGUGUAGCGGUGAAAUGCGUAGAUAUAUGGAGGAACACCGGUGGCGAAAGCGGCUCUCUGGUCUGUAACUGACGCUGAGGCUCGAAAGCGUGGGGAGCGAACAGGAUUAGAUACCCUGGUAGUCCACGCCGUAAACGAUGAGUGCUAGGUGUUGGAUCCUUUCCGGGAUUCAGUGCCGCAGCUAACGCAUUAAGCACUCCGCCUGGGGAGUACGACCGCAAGGUUGCAACUCAAAGGAAUUGACGGA
rnacentral:rRNA from 1 species